rnacentral:rRNA from 1 species
CCACGGUGGCAGCAGUGGGGAAUAUUGGACAAUGGGCGAAAGCCUGAUCCAGCCAUGCCGCGUGUGUGAAGAAGGCCUUCGGGUUGUAAAGCACUUUCAGUGGGGAAGAAAGCCUUGGGGCUAAUACCCUCGAGGAAGGACAUCACCCACAGAAGAAGCACCGGCUAACUCCGUGCCAGCAGCCGCGGUAAUACGGAGGGUGCGAGCGUUAAUCGGAAUUACUGGGCGUAAAGCGCGCGUAGGCGGUCUGAUAAGCCGGUUGUGAAAGCCCCGGGCUCAACCUGGGAACGGCAUCCGGAACUGUCAGGCUAGAGUGCAGGAGAGGAAGGUAGAAUUCCCGGUGUAGCGGUGAAAUGCGUAGAGAUCGGGAGGAAUACCAGUGGCGAAGGCGGCCUUCUGGACUGACACUGACGCUGAGGUGCGAAAGCGUGGGUAGCAAACAGGAUUAGAUACCCCAGUAGU